AACAGAGGAUGCAAGCGUUAUCCGGAAUUAUUGGGCGUAAAGAGCUCGUAGGCGGUCUGUCGCGUCGGCUGUGAAAUCUUGGGGCUCAACCCCAAGCCUGCAGUCGAUACGGGCAGACUAGAGUGUGGUAGGGGAGACUGGAAUUCCUGGUGUAGCGGUGAAAUGCGCAGAUAUCAGGAGGAACACCGGUGGCGAAGGCGGGUCUCUGGGCCGUAACUGACGCUGAGGAGCGAAAGCGUGGGGAGCGAACAGG
rnacentral:rRNA from 1 species